GACGUAGGGCGCGAGCGUUGUCCGGAUUUAUUGGGCGUAAAGAGCUCGUAGGCGGCUUGUUGCGUCGGCUGUGAAAACCCGAGGCUUAACCUCGUGGCUUGCGGUGGAUACGGGCAGACUAGAGGUAGGUAGGGGAGAAUGGAAUUCCCGGUGUAGCGGUGAAAUGCGCAGAUAUCGGGAGGAACACCGGUGGCGAAGGCGGUUCUCUGGGCCUUACCUGACGCUGAGGAGCGAAAGCGUGGGGAGCGAACAGG
rnacentral:rRNA from 1 species